GACGAACGCUGGCGGCGUGCUUAACACAUGCAAGUCGAGCGGAGCGGCGAACGGGUGAGUAACGCGUGAGUAACUGCCCUCCUUUCUGGGAUAAAAGUUGGAAACGGAUGCUAAUACCGGAUAGUGGGGGAUGACUCGCGGCCUAUCAGCUUGUUGGUGGGGUAGUGGCCUACCAAGGCGACGACGGGUAGCCGGCCUGAGAGGGCGACCGGCCACAUUGGGCUGAGAUACGGCCCAAACUCCUACGGGGCGCAGCAGUGGGGAAUAUUGCACAAUGGUGGAGACCCUGAUGCAGCAACGCCGCGUGCGGGAUGACGUCCUUCGGGUUGUAAACCUCUUUCAGCCAUUACGCGGUAGUGGCAGAAGAAGCACCGGCUAACUACGUGCCAGCAGCCGCGGUAAUAC
rnacentral:rRNA from 1 species